rnacentral:lncRNA from 1 species
CUUGCCUCCUCUCCUGAUCCCAUCCUAUACUCUGCUUUGCUGUGCAGGCAAUGCUGGGAAUAUUUGCACCAAUAUAGAGUAUUCCUUUUAGAUAUCUUCAAUUUAAUACCAAUGGGGAGAUAUUCACAGGGAUACAGAAAAAUAUUCACUUCUUUCCUGGAAAACAGAACCUCAGAGGUAAAGCUGAACAGAGCAGGUGAGUUAAUUUGAAUAAUUAAAGCACAUGAAGGGUUACUGUGAAGAGGACUAGGUCCAGCUGCUUUCUCUCACACUUGUUAAAAGCUGGAACAGGCUGUAGAUAGAGCAUGGAGCCACCAAAUAGAGGAAACCUUGGCUUGAGAUGAGGUCUGAAAAUUCAUCCUCUGAAAAUGAAAUGAAAAUGAGCCUCCUAUUCUGUGUGUAUAAACACUCAAUAAAAAAGUGGAGUACUUUUGCUAAUGAAAUAUUUCAAAGCCUUCAGCAAAAGACCAAGGUUGCCGUAUACAAAGUGACCGGAGCAGAGUGACAUGAGACAGAAUGACCCACGAUCUCUGAGUAGGAAGGCAACUUAAAUGGAUGAAGAUAAAAUGAAUGGAUCCAUGACACUCAAUGGGCAUUCUUACGAUCCUUAAAUAUGAUACAUGGCGAUAAUUUUACAAGCCAAGAUAGCAAAAGCGGAGCUGACAUUUAAUUGUAUGUUUAGUCCAUACUUGAGUAAAGCAGCAAUUGAAAUAAGAAGGAGCAUUAUACUAACCACCAUGGUGCUAAAAUUGCUAAAAAAAAAAGUUCACAAAGCAGUGUCAUGUCAACACUUCUAAUUUUAAUCACAGCUCUAAAUAGUUAAGAGCACACCCAGAAAAUGAGAGUGUCUGAGUCUGGUGUUUUUUGUGGUUAACAUCUCUCUUUAGAUAACUUUAGAUAGCACAGGUGGUUUUUCUUCUUAGGGGUGAAAUUCUAAAUAUGGCAUGUACUUUCCAGAGGCUGUGGUUUGAAAGGAGAGUAAUGAUGGAUCCUUGUGUAAUUACAAGUAUGAUGACG